AGGCGUUCUCAGGGCGGGGCGAAAUUCCCCACCGGCGGUGAUUGCACCCUUUUGCAAGGGGCAUAAGUCCGCGAGCGCCCGGCCCCCUCUGGGGCCGGGGUCAAGCAGAUCCGGUGUGAUUCCGGAACCGACGGUUACAGUCCGGAUGAAAGAGAACGGAA
rnacentral:ncRNA from 2 species